GCAGAGCAUCCUACGGGAGGCAGCAGUGGGGAAUAUUGCACAAUGGGCGCAAGCCUGAUUGCAGCCAUGCCGCGUGUAUGAAGAAGGCCUUCGGGUUGUAAAGUACUUUCAGCAGUGAGGAAGGUGGGUAUGUUAAUAGCAUACUCAUUUGACGUUAGCUGCAGAAGAAGCACCGGCUAACUCCGUGCCAGCAGCCGCGGUAAUACGGAGGGUGCGAGCGUUAAUCGGAAUUACUGGGCGUAAAGCGCAUGCAGGUGGUUUGUUAAGUCAGAUGUGAAAGCCCGGGGCUCAACCUCGGAAUUGCAUUUGAAACUGGCAAACUAGAGUACUGUAGAGGGGGUAGAAUUUCAGGUGUAGCGGUGAAAUGCGUAGAGAUCUGAAGGAAUACCGGUGGCGAAGGCGGCCCCCUGGACAGAUACUGACACUCAGAUGCGAAAGCGUGGGGAGCAAACAGGAUUAGAUACCCUGGUAG
rnacentral:rRNA from 1 species